AUGGAUAGCAAAACCAGUGCUAGACACAACGCCGACCUGCUGGAGCGCAUGCUGCUUGAUGGAAGAGCAGAGCCAACGUACCUGCCGUUAUCACUUUUGGAAGACAUCACAAAUUGUUUCUGUGUUGAUCAGGAAAUUGGCAGAGGUGGAUUUGCAGUGGUUUAUAAGGGAAAAGUGGGAAAAGGAAUGGUCGCUGUGAAGAAGCUAUCUAACACAUUCAAGUUGCCUGAGGAAAAAUUCCACAAAGAGGUUGAGUGUCUCACGAAGGCCAAGCACAAAAAUAUAGUGCGUUUCUUGGGCUAUUGUUCUGAAACCCAUGGCAGAAUUGCAAACAUUGACGGGAAGUUUGUCAUGGCAGAUACACGAGAGUGGUUACUAUGUUUUGAGUAUGUACCGAACGGAAGUCUCGAUAAGUAUAUUACUGGUAUGAUCAUAACAUAA
rnacentral:rRNA from 1 species